AAAACUGCCCUACUCCAGCUGAUGGACCAGGAGGAGAUAGAUAUGGAGGAUAACCUUGUGCGAUACUGUGUGUCCAAUCUAACCUGUCAGCUGUGUAACAUUGGUCUUGCAAGUGUGGUAGAAUCAUGGAAUGCUCAUAGAAUCCCAGGAAAAGGCAUACCAAAUCACUUUGCAGAACAUGGGUGUAAA